rnacentral:rRNA from 1 species
UAAAGACUGGAUCCUGGCUCGGCCCGAUCCUCCCACCCUUUGUGUACCUACCUCUGUUGCUUUGGCGGGCCGCGGUCCUCCGCGGCCGCCCCCCUCCCCGGGGGGGUGGCCAGCGCCCGCCAGAGGACCAUCAAACUCCAGUCAGUAAACGAUGCAGUCUGAAAAACAUUUAAUAAACUAAAACUUUCAACAACGGAUCUCUUGGUUCUGGCAUCGAUGAAGAACGCAGCGAAAUGCGAUAAGUAAUGUGAAUUGCAGAAUUCAGUGAAUCAUCGAAUCUUUGAACGCACAUUGCGCCCUUUGGUAUUCCGAAGGGCAUGCCUGUUCGAGCGUCAUUACAACCCUCAAGCUCUGCUUGGUAUUGGGCACCGUCCUUUGCGGGCGCGCCUCAAAGACCUCGGCGGUGGCGUCUUGCCUCAAGCGUAGUAGAACAUACAUCUCGCUUCGGAGCGCAGGGCGUCGCCCGCCGGACGAACCUUCUGAACUUUUCUCAAGGUUGACCUCGGAUCAGGUAGGGAUACCCGCUGAACUUAAGCAUAUCAAUAAGACGGAGGAA